rnacentral:tRNA from 1 species
CAUUAAGAAGCUAUGCAAACAGCACUAGCCUUUUAAGCUAGAGAUAGAGGACCAUCCACUCCUCCUUAAUGA